GACGAACCGAGCGAACGUUGUUCGGAAUCACUGGGCUUAAAGGGCGCGUAGGCGGCGCAGUAAGUUGGGUGUGAAAUCCCUCGGCUUAACCGAGGAAUUGCGCCCAAAACUACUGUGCUCGAGGGAGAUAGAGGUGAGCGGAACUUAGGGUGGAGCGGUGAAAUGCGUUGAUAUCCUAAGGAACACCGGUGGCGAAAGCGGCUCACUGGAUCUCUUCUGACGCUGAGGCACGAAAGCUAGGGUAGCAAACGGG
rnacentral:rRNA from 1 species